CAUUGAAAGGCGCUUGUUUGACAGAAGCAACAAGAAACGAAGCUUUCUUCGAGAUUCAAUCGUCUGAUACCAGUGGAUUGACUGUCUUUGAUUACAUUUCAUCAUUUUUAUGUCCUGGCAAUUGUUCUGAAAAUGGAGUUUGCGUAAACGCCACUUGUUCGUGUUUCGAUGGUUUUCUUGGUUCCGAUUGUUCUGGAAAACUCUCUGUUCCCCCAAAAGAUUUUCUUCUACCUUCAAAUGGAUUGUGUGAUAUCAGUUCCAGGGGAUGUCUCAAAACAAACAUCUUGGGAUUUUUCGAUGUUGAAAAUGUCACAGCUAAGUUUGAAUACUUUCAGGUGAAGAAUAAUGUGAUCCAUACAACAAAUCACGUUAAAAUAGAAAGCACAACUUACUAUAACUACAACAAGAUCACUGCUGAGAUACCCAAACCUCCUGAGUCACUACGGCGAAGGAGAGCAGCAAGUGUAAACUCAGUGGUGUAUGGAUGGAAUAUAUCACUCAGCUAUGACGGGUAAACGUACAGCAGUCACGUGACCAUGCUAAUAUUUGAUGGACAGGUUUACAAAUGUGACGCUCGAACGCUUGUUUGCAGUUCUUUGAAUCAAAUGACUACGGAUUCCCCGACUGAUACC